UUCAGAAUCUUGCACAAUGGGCGAAAGCCUGAUGCAGCGAUGCCGCGUGGGUGAAGAAGGCUCUCGGGUCGUAAAGCCCUGUCAGAGGGGAAGAAUAAUGACGGUACCCUCUAAGGAAGCCACGGCUAAUUACGUGCCAGCAGCCGCGGUAAUACGUAAGUGGCGAGCGUUAUCCGGAAUCACUGGGCGUAAAGAGUGCGUAGGCGGCGCAGCAAGUUGGAUUUGAAAUCCCGGGGCUCAACUCCGGACACGGAUCCAAAACUGUUGUGCUAGAGCAGAUCAGAGGACAGCGGAAUUCCCGGUGUAGCGGUAAUAUGCGUAGAUAUCGGGAGGAACACCAGUGGCGUAGGCGGCUGUCUGGGGUCUUGCUGACGCUGAGGCACUAAAGCCAGGGGAGCGAACGGGAUUAGAUACCCCGGUAGUCCUGGCCAUAAACGAUGAACACUAGGUGUCGGGGGUUUGACCCCCGUCGGCGCCGCCGCUAACGCAUUAA
rnacentral:rRNA from 1 species